rnacentral:lncRNA from 1 species
UCAAAUUAUAAAGUAUAUAACGUUUUAAAGUACCCACUUAGAUUGGAUUUCUUUACAUUAAUAUGAAGGAUAGACUUCCUGCUACUUCUUUCUGGUCGGCUUACAUAAAUUUAUUUUUUUACAUAUUCCUCAUACCUAAUAUACCCUAUAAUCAUGAAGAAAGAAAAGUCUAGUUGUAAAGCUAUUAAUAGGCGAAGAUACACGCCAACGGUUAAUUUAGCUACAUAAUUUACAUGAAGUAUUGUCAAUUGUAGUUAUUUGUCAACUUCGCAUUGUUAUAAUGUAUACCU